GCUGCAUUUUGUAAAAACCUUUUCUAAUUCAGUCUGUUGUUUUCGUGUGUUCAUUUUUAUUUUGUAUACGUUAUAAUAAGGUUGUUGUUUUCCUGGCUUGAAAAAGAUUUUUACUGGCCAUUUUGGGGUCCUUUACAGCUGAUUUGAUAAAAAUCCUAGCUUACUUUACCUACAUUGUGUAUUAAAUGGAGAGUUGUCUCAUUGGCAUUCAUACCACAUCUUCUUAUUCAUUUAUUC
rnacentral:lncRNA from 1 species